rnacentral:tRNA from 1 species
GGGGGAUUAGCUCAGUUGGCUAGAGCGCCAGAUUUGCAUUCUGGAGGUCAAGGGUUCGACUCCCUUAUUCUCCA